rnacentral:lncRNA from 1 species
GGUUGAUUCUUGUAUGCUUGGCUUUCCUUGGCGGGGAGGGACCCUGCGCAUGACACAUACCAGCAAUUAUAUAGAAGUUGCAUUGGUUGAUAAUCCGCAUAGGAUAACAUAUUCAAUUCUCCAAAUACUUGUAAGUAUAUGACGGGAAGAACCCCAUAAUAGGUAUUGAAUAUAUAUGUUUGUGUGUUCGCGCAUGCGUGUGAAAGUUGAAUCCAUAAUCCUUAGUUUUACAAGUUAAUUUGAACCGGUAGAGAUAGAAGGGAGGAGGGGGGUUAUCCAAUGAAAAGAUCGGGAGUAAAUUUACCAUGGGGCCUCCAGUAGUGUCAGCCUUUACACCAUUAGCACCAGCAGAUUGUUGCGACUCUUUUCUUCCUCUUCCAGCUGGAAAUGCAGAUAUUGGUAAAAAUUGGAGAAUAGCAAUGCAAAAUAACAGCCGACUGUUUAUAGCAAACACUCUUGAAAGGUCAAAAACAAUAGCACCACAGUAACAAAUUGUAAAUAUUGUUAAAAUAGUAAUAAGGGCCCAGGGGACUGUCAGUAGAUAACAUCAUAUCAAACACUUAAAAAGUUCAAACUUAAUGGACAACGCUUCUAUAACUUGUUUAACACUUCUCGGGCGCGUCAUCAUUUAAAUAUAAACACAUUAACUUAGCAAUUUGCUAAAUACUUCACCAAGAUGAACUCUGUCGAAAACUAGGCAUGGGCAACAUAAAUGAAAAUUUGAAAACCCGUCGAGCAUUUAGGCCCGACACUUGAUAAUUCCAAAAUAGCCAUAUUUUCUAAUCUGCCUCUUGAUUUGUCAAUGAAAAGUUGAAACAGAGAAUUCCUGAUCUUAUUAGCAUGGUGAAGAGGUUCAAGAAUUAGCAAUCAACAAUAUAUUAUACAUCUUAACAAGCUUGCCAACCCCUCUCCUUGAUUUGAUGUUGCCUAUGCCUCUGAUAUUCCACAAAAGGUUAUUUAUCAUGGCUAACAAAGCAAUUUGCAGAUGCUUACGCCAGCAGGUUACUCAAUCUGCCCAUUCGCCAGGUGAUGUUAACAAGGUCAGAAAUCAGAAUGGUUUGGGGAUGGGAUAAAGGAGGAAGAAAGAAGGGGGAAUGGGAGAAGAACUAUACUCGAGCGACAGAAUGGUACGAAUGCUCAAUCUAAAAUUACUAUUCAACUUUGUCUCUCUAACAAUGGAUAUUACAUCAUUCUAUGUCAAACAUAUUUAAUUCUAAUAGUACAACUUAGGAAACCUAAUUUAAUAUGGAAUCAAACUCCUACUUACUAUAUGUGAUUACUGCCUAAAUAAAAUUACCUAAUUAUAAUCGAUUCACUCAUUAAUAAUAUAAAAUAAUUUCCCUAAUAUUGAUGUAGGAAAAAACACACACAAAAGCACAUAGUUUUAAUUUCAAAUCAAUUCAUAUUCAUAAAUCUGUCAAAUAAUGAAAUAUUACAAAACUUAAAUAGAAAACCCAAUACUUGGGAAUAAGUAAUAACCCUAAUUUUAAAAAAAAAAAUCUUAAUUAAAAUCCACUAACAUAAUUAAAACUCUCCUAGAAUGUCCUACUAAAAUAAUUACAUUAAUAAUCAAAUAUUUAUCUCUAAAUAACAAUACAAAAUUAAUAAUAAACUUCUUGAAUUUCUUCUUCCGUACCGCAUCAUUCUCCUCGCCUUCAAAAAAACUCGUCCUCGAGUUUUGAAAUAUAGAAGAAUAAUAAUUCACAGACCGAGAUAUGUCUUCCGACAAGACAUGCACAUUUGAUGUCUCUUAAACACGAUUUUUUGGAAAUAGCAAUGACACAAGCAAGAAACUAGAUGCCGCUUUGGACUUGAAUACAGAAUUUGGUAUAAGAAAGUCAAUAUGUUCUACCUCAAUUGUGUCUUUCUUUUUGUGUUCAACUUCUUGGUCAAUAUGAUUCAUCUCUUGCCCUGCACUUUUUUAAUGCAAAUCACCUUUGAAUCUUCAACUGAUACAACAUCCUUAACUUCAGCCACUUUAAGAUCCUCACAAGUCGUAACAUGUCGAAGUUCUUGUUCUUGAAGAGUAACAGAAUACUUGUAUUUUAUUUGUAGGAUCUAGUGUCAUAGCUUGACAUUUAUGUUGAUUCCUAGACCACGUAUUGAAAUUGCGACAGAUAGAUUCUGAGAUAAUUGUCUGAUUUGCAUAAGUGUUGCAAUGAAUUCUUCUAUUCUUCUAAGACGGUCCUCCCAAUUAUAAGUCACCAUAAUUGGAAAAAAAAUUAGACUUCUGUUUUUUUUUCGGCUCUAAGACUUAGGUGCAAAAAGUAUAAAGAAACUUGAGUUGAAACUAAUUAAACGUCAAGGGUUGAAUUAAAAAAUUCAGAAACUUUGAGGGCUAAAUUGAAAUUUUCAAAACCUUGGGUACAAAAAUGUAAUUUAGCCUCAGAAUCAGUGAUGAACAGUGCAUGAUACUGUAGCAACAGCGUUGAAUUUUUUGUCUUAUUUUGUUUUUUUUUACAAUUUUGGGAUAAGUUUGAGAUUGCGUUGUCGUCUCGGAUAUUGAUUUCAAUUUUCUAGUCAAUUAGUGGAAGCCAAAUCUCAUGUAGGACGAGCCCGUGAAAGUUGGUUAGAACAAUAUAAGAAGUUUUGGAAGCUCGUAGAUUAGAAGUUGUAUUUUAAGUAGUUUCAUUUGUUUGCAGUUAUCUUAUUUUACUUGUAGUUAUCUUAUUAAAGUCCAAUUUAGGUUAGAAAAGUUGUUUAGGGAUAUUAUAAAUAGUGAUAUACUUUAUUAUUUUGAGACAUUACAUGAUUAAAAUUGAUUGAGCUUUGUUUGAGAAUUAUAUAUGUGAUAUUUAUCCUUUAUUGUCCCAAAACCCCCGUACCCAUCAUUUUGGAAUUAGAGCCAAAACUUCUAAGCCACCUUCUGCCGCCAUAAUCAUAAUACCAAGUAACCCUAAACCCCAGCCAAAUCACCAUCUAAUAAGUACACUCGCUGCCACCAACAUAACUUUAGCAUUACCCAAAUGUUGCCUCACCAGAGUCUUACUCUCACCCAAACAAAGCCUUAAUAGACCCUAUUUGUCCAAACCCAACAGCUGUAAAUCCCAAUCGUAAAUUGCAACUUUAGUCAUAAGUACACCAUACAUAUACCCAUCUCAACCAUGAUCUCAGCCGGAAACCUACACACACAGCCCCAAAUUGCAAUAAAAUUAUUGGUGGAGCAAUAAAAUGCAGCUAGCCUUUGUCGAAAACUCGAAGUUAAUAUGUAAUACUGCCACCUGCAUCUGAAAGGGUCCCCACAAGUCAUGAACAUCCUUUUCAGGACCAUAACUAGAAACAUACUUGCAAUUACUUCUUUAGCCACAUAAACUUGAAGCUGGACUUGAAGUUGCGAGGAUAUUUCAUGAAAAACUGUAUAGCCAUUUGCCAGUUUUCAAAACGACAACAAUGUCAUAGGAAGUUCAUUUUGAAGUUGGAUAUUAAGUAACCUAAAGAUUUGUUUGUUGUGGAUUUACGUAAUGAAAAUGUGUUUACGGCGUUUAUAAAGCAUAAAUAAAGGCUUUAUGGCAUGUUGAUCAUAAGCCAAAUUCGUGCCAAACAGAUAGAAACCCGUGUCGACUUGCAAGUCAUGUGGGUGGCCACAAGUGUGGGUGUGGCAACUGGACAUCCCCAAAUAGCUUAAAUAGUGAAAAACAUUUUAAAAAUAGGACAAUCUAGUGUCGUACAAUUCCCCACACCCGACUAGGAUCUCAAAUGUAACAUAGACUAAAUUAUGGAUAGAAGAAGCCAUAUUUGGCUUUAAUGAUAACUUAAUUCAAAGAUGUAAAAGUUCCUCACAAAUUCUCAAAUUUUAAAUAAUAAAAGCCCGAGUUUCCAGAAGUAAGGCAUCUAAAAGCCUCUACUCCAACCUUUAUGAAGUAUCUAACUCUUUCAAUCAGUUUUGUGAACAUUAACUAAAAACAACACAUCAAAAAGGUGUAUGGAUACCUCACAAAUUACAAAGGCUAUGGACUCCAAUAUGAAAACAUCAUGAAAUUGUUUUAAGCUAAAAAUCUAGAAAUGAAAAAAAAAUCCUCUUUUUUUUGGAUAACAUAAACCAACUCAAUGUAAGAAAUAAACUAAUAAUAUAAUACUAUUCCAUCAGUUCUCUUAAAAAAUCAACUACCAUUGAUGCCUGAGAGAUUAAUAGAACAUGUAUAACACUAAACUAAAAGAAUAUAUAACCUAUUUAAUAUCAACUAAGACUUUAAGUGGACCUUAAACCUUAUUCCAAAUGAUCCCCACAGGCUACAUUAAAGUUUCUAUCUGCUCAAUUGUACACAAGUUAUCAUACUUACAAAAAUUAACUCUUAUUGGACUCAUGUACAUUCAACAAGGAAACAACAAUUUUCUUUAUGUUUUUUUUCAAUACACAUAUAAGUGACCUUAAGAAGUAGUAUCACAAUCAAAGGUCACACGAUGCCACUCCACGCUAUGUAGGUUCCAACUUCCAACUAGACCUUAAGAUACCCUUUAAGGAGCAUAGUUCAUUAGUUCUGUCUAGACUAAUAAAACCAAACUAAAUGAGAAUAAAUUGGUUUUUAAAUCUAUUACCAUAACAUGUGAAUUUGCCGGUUUUUCAAUCUUCCAUAUUGUUGGAACUUGUGACUCAUAACAUAGAAGCUACUGAAAAAAACUAGUGCUCCGCUUCGCUCGGGGUACGGUACGGAAGUUCUGCAUGUAUGGCGCGGGACGCACCGGUGUAAGGCUAGGAGUGGCACGAGGUGAGCCAGGAUCGGUGCAGGUUCUGCAUGUGUGGGGCGGGGCGCGUCGGUCGGCGGACAGAGUUUUUUUGGUUCAUUUGUUGGAGGACAUUAUGGGUAUUUGAGUCAUAAUGUGAAGUAGAGUUGGAAUAGAAUUAGUAGCUAUGAAUACUAUCUAUUGUAAAAUCCUAUGUAACAAAAAAUCAUCAAAUCCAAGUAUCAACUCCAGGGUACGAGGGGAGUGCAAGGGUAAAUUCACAGGUCUCGUGAGUGGAGCAAAUAGAGUUAAAUCAGAUGGAGUACGGGAUGAUUUGAGUUAGGUGGAGCGGGCUCAGGAUGACUCUGGGAAAGUUGCUCAGACACGUUUGUCUGGGCGUGGUGGAGUAGUAUUAGAGUCGGGCAAAUCUCUUGAAGGACUCAAAGAUGAAGUAUGAUUUGAAUCGGGUGGAGCGGGCACAUGAUGGCUCUAGGAAAUUGCUCAAACACGUUUGUCUCCGGCGUGGUAGAGUAGUAUUAGAGUUGAACAGAGCUUGUGAAUAAUCUAGUAUGAUACUUGUGAUGGAUAUUCAAGUGAAAGGUGGAGAUUGUUAGGAUAUUUCACAUGAAUCUCACAUUGGAUAAAUUCAAGAGUGUAGAUGGAUGGGUUAAUAAGUAUGGUAUAACCUCAAUCUGCACAUAUGUGCGUUGCAUGGUGAUGACUGAUGAAUUGAUGUGGGAUCUACACAUAUAUUACACCAUGCACGUUUAGUUUAUGUAAAGGCACCAAUGUCAGUUGACAACCAACAAAACGUGACUACAACUUUUGCGAAAGUCGUACAAGUUUGCUUUAAAAUAUUCGAACAUAUAUUAUAUGGGAAGGUCUUGCUUGAUCCACUUAGAUAACAACUUUGAGAUUUAACUCUUGCUUUACUUGACCUACUAUUUCUGAGCAACUAAAUGGAUGAAAACUAGCUUAUAACCCUACAGCCAAACAUAUACAGUUAUUAAAUUCUGCAAAAUGUUCAAAAAAAGUUUGUGUGAUUCUGCCAUGAGUGGGGCAGUGCAGACAUCAUCCACGAGAUUUAUAUAAUUAAACAAAUUUUGAAAAAAUACCCAAAAACUAAUGAUAAUUACCUUCUUUAUUAAAAUUCUUUAUGUAUAUCGUCUGAUUAGGCGGUAUAUCCCCGGUAAGCAUCGUUGUUGAGCUUCUUUGUGGACUGUGAGCAAUCGAGAGAUAAAAAGGGACCGAGAGAGUUCGAAGUUCUCGAACAAGUUUGAAGCCCUAAACAAAAUCAUCAAAAGCGGGCAUCUUGAAUUUUCGGCCGGCGGUUAAUUUGGGCCUGUCUAUUACUUGCAUUUCUCAACUAUCCUAAUUCCUAAUCAUCUGUCUUCCCAUUGAAUUGUAAAAUUUAUAAAUUAUUUAAAAAU